ACUCAAAGGAAUAGACGGGGGCCCGCACAAGCGGUGGAGCAUGUGGUUUAAUUCGACGCAACGCGAAGAACCUUACCCAGGCUUGACAUGCAUCGGACGGGUGUGGAAACACACCUUCCCUUCGGGGCCGAUGCACAGGUGCUGCAUGGCUGUCGUCAGCUCGUGUCGUGAGAUGUUGGGUUAAGUCCCGCAACGAGCGCAACCCUUGUCCUUAGUUGCUAACGGGUAAAGCCGAGCACUCUAAGGAGACUGCCGGUGAUAAACCGGAGGAAGGUGGGGAUGACGUCAAGUCCUCAUGGCCCUUACGCCUGGGGCUACACACGCGCUACAAUGGCCGGUACAGAGGGUUCCGAAACCGCGAGGUUGAGGCAAUCCCAAAAAACCGGUCUCAGUUCGGAUUGCAGUCUGCAACUCGACUGCAUGAAGCUGGAAUCGCUAGUAAUCGCUGAUCAGCAGGCAGCGGUGAAUACGUUCCCGGGCCUUGCACACACCGCCCGU
rnacentral:rRNA from 1 species